ensembl:snRNA U6 U6 spliceosomal RNA
GUGCUUGCUUCGGCAGCACAUAUACUAGACUUGGAACAAGGCAGAGAAGAUCAGCAUGGCCCUGCACAAGGGUGACCUGUGAAUCUGUGACGCCUUCCAUAUUUUA